ACCUGCUGUUUCCCUGCCUGCCCGGAGGAAGACAAAGGAGAGCCAGAGACGGGGAAGUGGAAGAUCCGAUAAAGAGGAAGCCCAGAGACUAAGCAAGGAGCUGACCGGGUUCGGAGGUCAGGGAGCCUUCCUGCAGGAGAGCCUUCAGAGAGGGAGUGGGAAGCAGAGAGAGACACCGGAAGGCGCUGUGCUGCCAGCUUUGAAGAUGGGAGGUGCCGCGAGCCAACGGAUACAGGCGGCCGCCCCAGCCGGGCCCCCCCUCCAGCCACCCGCCCCACUGCCACCUCAAACCCAGCCCAGGGAGACCAGCCAUGGACCUCGGACGUCCAGAACUGUCGGAGGAGACACGCAGGUGGCUUUAAGCCACUGAAUGUGGGCUGCUUUGCCACAGUGCCAACAGGAAGUCACUGCCCACCUGCCUGCCCUGGCCAGCCUGGGCUCCGCCACAAGUCCUUCUUAAAGGGCUCCUUCAGGUUCCACUUUGGUCCUCUCUCAACUUGUUUGUUCCCUUUGUUAAAUGUAAUUUUUUUAAAAAAAUGGGGCCAAUGUAGGCACAGAGUGAGGGGACUUCAUGUUACUGGAAGUUUUCCACAAACCACUGGAGAAGCUGGAGCCAAAUUAUUGUCCCAUUGCUCAGAUGAAUAAACUGAGGCUUAAGGAGUAAA